rnacentral:lncRNA from 1 species
GCUCAUAACCAAAUCUGCAUUGCACUAGUGGCACGACAGUGCUAAUUUCAGUUGACUACAGACACAAAGCACACGUGGUUUCACAUUAGUUUCGGAAACACAAACACAACAUUCUAAAUAAGCAAAAUGUUAGAAUUAAACACACAUGUUUAAUUGGAAGGGAAUCUCCCCUUGUUAACUGCCAUGCCGUUGCCAUCAGGCAACCGACACGCCUCUCCCUUCGCGUCCCUCUGUAUCGUCGCGUCCCUACGGGAUGUAUAUAUUGUAACAAACCCAAUCAAUUAGAACAACGAUUCCACUACUUAGUCAAUUAUCUAUCGCUUACUUUGCAAUACGUUAUCAGCACGCUCCCGGCAGAGCGAUUCUAUCGGCGCCUGGCUACGACCUCGCUCGCUCGCGAGUUCAACGACCGCGGCCCUCGGUUCGGCGUGGUGGCGCCUGCUACCGCGGCGGCCAUCAGCCCGGCAAAAACGCUUCCAAGCGGCAGCCUCAAAACUUCGCGCCUCGCACCCUCGUCGCCAGCCGUGGCCACGCCCGCCCACGCCGUGGCCGUUCCUGGCCGCGUCGGCGCUGCUCCCCGGCCUCCCCAGCCGCGCCCCGCGCCAGGUCGUGGCCAUGCUUGCAUGCUUGCUGUGCUGCCAUGGAAUAGCCAAUCUAGCACUUUCUGUGUGGAUUGCUGACCGGCGACGGAUAGAGCGAGAUGCAUCAGAUCUUGGUCUGACGGGGGGCCUGCGGUGCUGAGAUGUGGACCUGCAUGCCUCGCGCCAUCGCCAUCUGGCCGCGCGGGCCGCCCCGCGCCUCGGCCGCCACACUGCCGCGCCGCCGGACUCGCGCCCUCCA